GACGAACGCUGGCGGCGUGCUUAACACAUGCAAGUCGAACGGAAAGGCCUGCUUUCCCUUGUGGAUUGCGGGUACUCGAGUGGCGAACGGGUGAGUAACACGUGAGUGAUCUGCCCCCAACUUGGGUAUAAGCCUGGGAAACUGGGUCUAAUUCCCGAUAGGACUGCAGGGUGGUGCCUGUGGUGGAAAACGAUUUUCUAGUGGUUGGGGAUGAGCUCGCGGCCUAUCAGCUUGUUGGUGGGGUAAUGGCCUACCAAGGCGGCGACGGGUAGCCGGCCUGAGAGGGUGGACGGCCACAUUGGGACUGAGAUACGGCCCAGACUCAUACGGGAGGCAGCAGUGGGGAAUAUGGCACAAGGGGCGGAAGCCUGAUGCAGCGACGCCGCGUGGGGGAUGACGGCCUUCGGGUUGUAAACUCCUUUCGACCGCGAGGAAGCCACCUGGUUGGAAGGGUGGUGACGGUAGUGGUAGAAGAAGCACCGGCUAACUACGUG
rnacentral:rRNA from 1 species